CCCGGAGCCCGGAGCCAGCCCAGCCCCGCGGCCGCCGCGGCUGCGGGGAGAGGGCGGGGGCGAUGCUGCCGGAGCCGCCGCCGCCGCCGCCGCCUCGGUGAGAGCCGCGCCGCGCGUAGCCGCACCGGCUGACAGGCUGAAGGACUGACUUCCCUCUCCGGGCAUCCUCCCUGGGCUGCCGGGAGGCGGCGGCGGAGGAGGCGGAGGAGGAGGAGGAACAGGGGGAGAAGGCGGAGAGCAGGAACGCAAGGAGGUGGACCUGGAUCCGUUUCUCCCGGCCAGGACCCGAGCGGCCCCAGCUACCGCUACCCGCCGGCGCCGUCCGCUAUCCAUCAGCCCUCCUGCGCCCACCCGAGACCCCCGGCUCUCUGCGCGUUGGGCUGGGGCCGGAGCCCCGCGGCUAGAGGAUUUAUGACUUGAGACUUUGAAGACUAAUUUUCUUGUAGCUUCUUCAUUCCAUUGAUGACUUGAAUCUACCUGGCACUUUUGAGAGUCGACACAAAGCCCGUUCUUCAAAUCACACUUAUUGGCAAGGAGGACUGUGAAGAGGGGCGCGCGCUCUGCAUUUAUGUGUAUCCCUGGGAGUCUCCCUGUGCUGAGAAAGAGCUUCAGGGUCUGAGCUCAGGAACUUCACAUCCAUGUUCAUCUUGAGGCCCUUUUGUUGCAAUUCUGCACUGUUUUGACCUCUUCCGAUAGGGCUAGGGCCGUGGAAUGGGGCAGUGUAAGUGCUGCAUUUGGAAGCUGUCUGAUGAGACCUGGAGGCGGCAUGCAUCGUGUGUGUCUGUCUAGCCGGAUCGUGCUAAAGAAGAGCCUGCUGUAAGGGGAGUGCUGUAAUCUAUUCGGUUCAUGCUGUUCCAACCAGCUUUAAUCAUCAACACUUGAAUAAUAUUCAAACUGUGAAAGGAACAUAUUUCUUGCUGAAGCCUCCGUGUGCCGAGUGGAAGCGCCAAAGCUUCUCCAUCUACCAAUCUAUGGCAGCACGUUGCAAAAAAGGGAGCACCUGGAUUGCUUCUUGCAACACGGGGAAACCGCCUCUCUCCACAGUCCAAUGGCACUAAGAUUUAAAAUGUCCUCCUUUGCCCCCAGAGAAGGAAACUGAUUUUCAUGGAAACCAUGCUUCAUGGAAGUCACCACCCCUCUUGUGAGCUGAAGAGACAUUUCCUCCCUGGCCCCAGGUAUCUGACAGGGUCUGCCCUGGCACCCUGAAGGAGAGGGCUGGCAGGUCAGGGGCCCACGGCGCUCUCUGGAGGGAGAGGAUAUGGGUUGUGGGCUGGGGCCUGAGGGGAAGGUGGCAGGCAGCCCUCAAAAGACUACAGGGAAACAGCGUGAGCUACUGCCCUGCUGGGAUAAAGACACAUAAGCCGUCAUCCUGUGGCAAGGGCUCAGCCCUGGGUUUCUAUAGAUGGCAGUCCUGCCUCUCCUAUGCUCUCUCCCCCCACUUCCCAUGAGAAAGGCAUUCCAGAGCCACAGCCCUGCUCAGGUUCCCACCAAGGAAUUUAAAGCUUGUCUCCUGGAGUCCACAGAAACUACAAAAAGCCAUCUUUGCGGGGGAGGACCCUUGGGGGAGUUUGUAGGGGUGGGGUGGGUGCUCAGCGAACCUUGAAGUCCCAGUUCCAGAGCUGUCACUCUCAGCUGUUUUUAUUCCAGGUAUGCCUCUCAGGAUGUCUGGUCUUCAGAAAUAUUUUUUUGAUAUCUGGAGUAGACACCUGGGCCAGAUAUAGUCUCCUUGGUCCUAGGAAAAGGGGGAGACAGUUGCGGGCCUGACUCGUUACUCCUGUGCUCUGAAUGACCAGAGGGCCACUGGGGGUGGGGUCUGGCAUAGGGGACAUGCGAUUGACAUCUAGGGAGUGAGCAUGUGACAGUGGAGAGCACAAGACUGGGUUCUCAGUCCUGCACAAAGUUAUGAUUAAAACUACUUUCAACUCAAUAACAAAGAGACUGAUUUAAAAAUGGGCAAAGAUAUUAAAUAGACAUUUCUCCAAACACAAUAUACCAGUAACCAAUGAGCAC